GAUGAACGCUGGCGGCGUGCUUAACACAUGCAAGUCGAACGAUGAAGCCCAGCUUGCUGGGUGGAUUAGUGGCGAACGGGUGAGUAACACGUGAGUAACCUGCCCUUAACUCUGGGAUAAGCCUGGGAAACUGGGUCUAAUACCGGAUAGGAGCGUCCACCGCAUGGUGGGUGUUGGAAAGAUUUAUCGGUUUUGGAUGGACUCGCGGCCUAUCAGCUUGUUGGUGAGGUAAUGGCUCACCAAGGCGACGACGGGUAGCCGGCCUGAGAGGGUGACCGGCCACACUGGGACUGAGACACGGCACAGACUCCUACGGGAGGCAGCAGUGGGGAAUAGUGCACAAUGGGCGCAAGCCUGAUGCAGCGAAGCCGCGUGAGGGAUGACGGCCUUCGGGUUGUAAACCUCUUUCAGUAGGGAAGAAGCGAAAGUGACGGUACCUGCAGAAGAAGCACCGGCUAACUACGUG
rnacentral:rRNA from 1 species